UACGGAGGGGGCAAGCGUUGUUCGGAAUUACUGGGCGUAAAGGGCGCGCAGGCGGCUGCUCAAGUCAGGCGUGAAAGGCCUGGGCUCAACCCGGGAAUUGCGCUUGAGACUGGGCUGGCUUGAGUGCGGGAGAGGAUGGUGGAAUUUCCGGUGUAGCGGUGAAAUGCGUAGAUAUCGGAAGGAACAUCAGUGGCGAAAGCGGCUUCCUGGACCAGCACCGACGUUCAGGCACGAAAGCGUGGGGAGCAAACAGG
rnacentral:rRNA from 1 species